CUCCCCUACCUCCCAUCCUUUGCCCAGGAGCUGCCUUCAUCGCAGUCACGCCCCUUCCUUCCGAGGAGCUUUCUGGCUGCUCAAGCUGGUAGACCCCCUGAUUUAUUCUUCCAUCUCCGCUCUCUUUCGCCUCAUCUUCUCUUAGUUCUCACCGCUCCCUCCACCCCCCACCUCCAGUCUGUCUUGCCUCCGACCAUCCGCUGCUCCACCCUCCGACCCGGUAUCCUGCCUGUCCACUGCCACCAAGGAGAGCCCGGACGGAGCAGCGAGGAGGGGAGCAGCCGGGAGUUGGGGCUUCCCCCUGCCCAUCCUGGCCUCCGGCCCGGGACCGAAGCCACUUGAGCGAGCAGAGAGUCGUCACCUUGUCUUCGGUGCCUUCAGGGGUAGGAGACGCAUGGUUACUUUUCGCGGGGAACUGGGGCAGGAAUCCAUGGUGGCAUGAACUUGAUCGUGCCCUCGGCGUGAGUGAGUCGAUCUAGAUGCAUGUGGGGAUGCCCGGGUGUUCUACUUUCUUUUGCAGCCGGCCUUGAGUUUUCCAGGAUGAGCAGCAAGUUAAAUGGGUUAAAGAGUGUGCGCUCCUUUCCCGUCCUACGGAGAUGCUAGUGGGUACCACUACUUGACGGUACUUUUACUUCCUUGCCUCCUUGGGUGCUUGUAGGUAUCUAAGUAAUUAAGCACAAAAAGAAUGAGGGAACUGCAGGUCAACAUUUACCUCAGGAGGAAUGUCUAUGGGCGCUUAUCUCAGAUUGCUAGAUGCGUUCCUCCUAAGUGUUUAGAGUCGAGGUGGGGGCUCACACUCCCCUCCCCCGGGGGCUGUGAAUUCUUGAAGUCUUAAAGUCUAGGAGUAAUCUACAAUGCUACACUCCUUUUGGUAGAUGUGUGUGUGUAUGUGUUUGGUGGUGAGGAGGGGAUUGCCCAUUAUCUGCUUUAUAGAUGUUAGUAACGAGUUUUGCAGGGUCAUGCAGGUGCCUUGAGGGUCCCAAGCCUUGGCCACUGUACAUUGGAGCUUCGACAGCAAGGUGGCUUUAUUGAUAUGUGAAAACAAAGGAAAGGAAAAGUGAGAGGGAAAGUGACAGUCUUUGUAGUCUGGUAAAUUGCCACUAAUGAUAGUAUAAUAAUAAUUUGCAGCAAAGAACUAAAUACAGUUAAAUGAGAGGAAAGGAAACGUUUGUGAGGAAAUAGCAUUUUCAAUCUCUGGCAUGUAUUUUAGAAAGAGUUGUAGAACACCUUGGAGUGUCUAAUUUUGUUCUCCUACCUCCUCCCGCUUCUCCCGGACCACCACGUUAAGAGUGGAAGUUGGGAGGUGUUUAAAACUCUUUUGAAUAUAACCCUCAUCUCCCAUCCAGAGAGGAAGAUAAUUAGUCACCAUAAUCUUCAAUAAUGGAGGGCUAAGGUGAUUUAAGUCUCCUUGAACUACGUUUUGUGAAAAGUCCUUUCCCCGGGCCAGCCUUUGUGAAGCCUUCUCAGUUAGACCUUUCAGCACCCUCAUUUAGUAGCUAAGAAUACUUUGAAAUACCAUUUUGGAGGCAGGAUAAAUUUUCACCCGUCUCCCACCUAUCUCCAGUUGAGCAAGCAUGGCAAACUUCUAAGAAUGGUGGUCUUCAAAGACCUGUUACCAAGAUGUCACCAACCCAUUGCUUCUUUGGGAACCAAUUCUUUGGCUCUAUUUUUAAAUGAUUGUGUUGGUUGAUUUUAAUGGGGGAAAGGAAAGCAGGAAGGGAGAGAAGGAACGUUACGGGGCGACAAUUUUAAAGGCUAUCGUCUUUCACAUCAGCUGGGAGGGAAAAGUUGGCCUGACCAAACUACAUUUUAUAAGUGGCCUGGGACAUUUUAAUAGCCAGGUUGUUGUAGAGUAGUUGCAUCUAUUUACAGAUGAUAACUCAGGUUCCAGUUAUUCUGUAUGGGUUUAUCCGGUGUCAUUUACAGACACUUUCUGGCACUACAUCAUACUUCAUUUUAAGACACUUCUUUCUUUGGAAAAGUCUGUGGCUCCAUAAAAUUGAAAGUGCUUUUUCUAACUUCAUGGCUUGCUAUGAAGUAAACCUCUGCCCAUGCUUGUACGUAGUUACUUUUAUGUGAAAGUUGGGGAUCGGUUUACCUAUUUAAAAGAUUUCAGGAGGAAAUUUAAAAAUUCAUACUCGAUACCAUUUUGGAUUUGGAAAUUGAAAGCUCAUUUCUGGUUGGUGAAGUAGGGAUUAUGAGACUAAUGUAUGUAUAGCCAUGGCACUUUGUGGACUUGCAUUUUCUGAAAUUUUGUAAAGAGCGAAUCAGAUGCUUUCUAGAAUGCCUUAAGAACAGUCUAUUCAGAACACAGAAGGAUGGAUGCUAUGACCUUGAGGUCCCAUUGAGUGCCAGAAUUCUAAGUGGGUACAUCUGCUUCUGUGCCUCUCCUAAGAGCCCUCUCCCAGGGCCUGUGCCUUCUUUAAAAGGGUGUCUUUGUAAUUAAGCAGCCUGUCUCUCCCACCCCCCUUUCUUCCUUUGAUCCAGCUUUUUAAGGCCUUUUUCCAUUUGGAAACAAGAGGAGUUUCUCACACUCUCCUACUCCCCUCUUAAGGUUUCUUUCCCUUUACCCCCAAAGAAAGUCCCCCAAAGUUCUCAGGGUGGUUAUAAGUUGUUUUGUUUUGUUGGAGUGAAGGGGAUGUUACCAGUGAGGAGAAGUAGAGGAUAUAUUCCCUCUUGGGAAAUGCUUGUGGCCAGGUAGCCUCUUCCAUGGAGACUGAGCAUUUGGAAUGCAUGAGAACAGUCUAUUCUUAGGGACUGUCUGGAAGAAAUUGUCCUUUGCACCCAUUAAGUGCAGCUAAAACCCACUGAAAAGGGUGGACAGAGGUGUGUGUGGUCGUGGCUGAGCCUUUUAGGAUGGUAAAUGGGUAAAUGUUCCCAAAUCUCUUAUUACAUCACCUCUUUCCCCCAUGGAUUCAGUGGGUUUGGAGAUCUGCUUGACAAGUUAAUUAGCUUGGGACUAAACCAAUUUGUUCAGAAUUGUGCUCUAUUGAUUUCCUGUCCCCAGGAAUUUUUGUUGGUGGUUUUCUAUGACGUGUUGCCUUUAGUCUUGCUUACUUUUUCGUUCCUUGCUGCCUUUUGUGGACUUUGGUCCAAAAUCUAGGGUCCCACCCCCAAGUCAAAGGUUAGAAUUUGGUCGAAGGAACUAAGGGGGCAUUAAACACGCUGCCCAUACUGCACUGCCCUCCUCCAUGGUGGGCUCCUGACCCCUUUUAACCCGGAGAAAAGAGGGAAGUUUCCCUUUCUACACACAACACACAAAAUCUGAACUGAAAAAAAAAAAACAAGGGGAAAAAGAAGGAAAAUAAGAGGCCAUUUGCUUUAUAAAAGAACCCACUACAGGUUUCUUAGAAAGAAGUAGCUUUCUUAGUUAGUGCCUUUGAGCUAUGACUUGAUAAUAUAAAGCUUCACUAUAAUCGGGCCUUCUCAGAAACUAUUUAUUGCAUCAAGGAAGACAUUAGAAUUUUGUUGUAAUUAUUAUAGCUUGAGUUAAGUGAGGCCAUUAUUUGGCCUUUGAAAUCUUUUUGUUAUAUGGGAUGGAGUUAAUUGUCUAGAUCGUUCUGGCUUGUAAUAAUGCUGGCCACGUUUAGCUCCAGCGGACAACCACUUGUAGAUGGGAGGUGGUAUGACUUUCUGGAAAGAAAUCAGACUUCACAGACACUGCUAAGUCUGACGGUGGGACUCUGCCCCAUAGAGGUAAAGAAAUUUAAUGCUGGUUGUUGUAUUUGAAUAACCCAAGGGUCCAGAAAAUUGCUUCUGGUAAGUGACGUCACGUGGUGCCGUUUUUCAUCGGAUAAUCUACAAUAAGCUUUCCUAGUGAGCCUGCUGGUGCAUGGGACAUGGGCUGUAAGCCCACCUCUAACUCAGUUUACUGUCCUUGGCAAGUCCUCUGUGCAUUGUGAGGAGCUGGACAAGGUGAUUUUGAGAACCAGUUCUGAGAAGUUUAUGGUUCCCUUCCUAGACCUCCACUUGGGACGUGAGUGUGAAUGAUUCGUACCAGAAUGAGGUGCAGCAGUCAUUAGAAAUACAAUCAGGUAGUCAUCUGGAUGUAAAAAAAAAAAAAAAGCCUCUAAGGAUAUAGCAAUAUAAAUGCAUUGUGUUUUGUAUCUUAACAACAUAUCAAAUUAAAAAGCUAAGAUCCUGCCCAGAACUUCAUCACGAAUCCUGUCCUAACAGAUCACUCGCCUACAUUUUUCCUAGUUCCUCUCAUGCCCUUGUUUCUGUACUUAACAUGAAUUUUACAUAGUUGUGGGGGGGGGAGGGGUCAUAGAAAUCUACAAAGUUUCUUUCAAAUAAGAGCCCAACUAAGACUUAGUUUUGUAAACCCAUGUGGAAGAAUGAAGUCAGAACCUGACUGAGUACGCGUGAAGAAUCACGUAUGUUUGUUCCUUGAAAUGCCGGGAGAGACUAACAGAUUUAAUAAGUAAUUCCUCAACGUUUCUGUAAUUUAGGGGUGUUCGUGUAUCUACCUAGGCUGUUAAGUCUAUUCCGUUGACCUCCUGUUACCCCUCCCCAUUUUUUAUUUUAUUUUUUUUAUUUUUUUUUAACGUUCAUUUAUUUUUGAGACAGAGAGAGACAGAGCAUGAACAGGGGAGGGGCAGAGAGAGAGGGAGACACAGAAUCCGAAGCGGGCUCCAGGUUCCGAGCUGUCAGCACAGAGCCCGACGCGGGGCUCGAACUCACGGAUCGUGAGAUCAUGACCUGAGCCGAAGUCGGCCGCUCAACCGACUGAGCCACCCAGGCACCCCCCCUCCCCAUUUUUUUAAGCGAAAAGACAACUAAGGUUCACUGUUUACUUUGUCUAAAUCAUUAGGAAUGAAUUCUUAAAUCACUGUAUCAUGAUAUCCCGUCAAGAGAGUACAAAUUUGGGUAGACUAUACAAUUUCCCCAAGGAGAAAGGAAAAGCAGGAAGGCACAAAUGUUUUGUUUCAUAGCUUUGAAAAUAAUAUGUUUAAAUUAGACUAAAAAAAUCGUAAGGAAACUAAGGGUUUGGGACAAUUGAAGACAUGUAGGUGCGGCAGGAUGAUGGGCUCUUCAUUUGAGGUCUUCACUGUAUAGCGAAAGCUCAGGUACGUGGUCCCUUCAUUUUCCUUUGAUAGAGAAGGCAUAAUAUACAUGUGAUCUCCAUUUUGGAUGAAUUCAUUCCUGGAAACCAGUGGCUCAUCAUAAAUUAGAUUAAAUACCUUUAACCAGAAGAGGAAGGUGAAGUAUGGAUUUUUUGUACUUAGAAAGUUCCAAGUUAAGUACGUUUUUUAUGAUAUGUAUUCAUGGGGAGAUGCAGAUGGAGGUAUUUGCUAAUAUCUCGUAAGAUAAUUUUUGAAAAUUAUCUUUUUUUUUUUUAACUCUGUAAGGCUGCUCUUGACGUUUGUAAAGUCACUUUCAUUAUUGCCCCAACUCCAUGAAACAGCAUUAGACUCUGUGACUUGAAGCCAGGAUCUGGGUUUCUGUGCCCAGCCCUCUCUGACCUGUCACGUGACCAAGGGUAAAUGAAUUAGCUGCUCUGGGCUUCAGUUACCCUUCUGGGAAGCAGGGAUAUUAAUACCUCACAGAGGUGUUUAGGCAUGCUUCAUAUUGGACACAUGCUUUGAGGUCAUUGGAUGAAAGGUGUUUGCAUGAAGGCAGAGAAGGCUUAUUAUAAGGUCCUGAGCAGGUGUUCACUUUUAAUGAGCUUUGCUCUCUUAUAACUUACAGUGCCCCUUGGUGCCCCAGUGCCUUACUUGACUAUGAUUGAUCAUCCCAACAUUUAUGUUAUGGACCCUCUUGGCUUUUUUUUUUUUUUUUAAGUAAACAUUUUCCUUCUAUGGGGUAAGUUGAAGUUCGAAUAAGAGGACUCCAGCAUCUUCCAGGGUGAUGAAAAAUAGCUUCAAAAAGAGACAUCAGUUGAAAUGUGCCAUAGAGAUCAGUGAGUUCUUCAAAGCUCUUCCAAAAGAUUAAAAAGGGUAAAACAAAUUUCGGCGUGUGUCUGUGUGUGUGAGUGUGUCUAUGUGUGUGUGUCUUAAGGGAGAAAGUUUUGAGUAAUAUUUGCUUGUGACACAUACUGAUGAUAGCCAGUAACUGAAACCCAGCCAUUGUAGUGUUUUAUACACAGCUGGUUUUUAUUAAUGAUGGAAUAUUUAUGCUUGCUGUACAAUUCGUGGCUCAUUUCCAUGUGUAUGUCAGAACUCAAAUACCCCCCAAAGCAACAUUAAGAUAACAUUAAAUAUAAAUGUGGCCAAGCUAGAAAGGGUGGAUUUGGGGGGGGGUCUCCCUUAUUCUUAUUGGUGUUGCUUCAGAUCACCAUAACUGCCCCCCAACUUUAGGUGCUGGUGCUGAUCUAUUUUUCCUUUAUGUGUCCCAUAGCAAACUUCACAUUCUGAUCCUUUUGAUAUGGACAAAUGAUCUCCCCCCUUCAUAAUGCAGAUGAAACUGAUGUAUGUGUUUUUUAAGAGCAUAUUUUCGCUGCACAUGCUUCUCAUUAUCCGAGAGGCCUGGACUCAAUCAGUAAAGGAGCAGAGAAACCACAUAAUUGAAAGGAGAAUGACGGUGGUGCAUACUUGGAAUAUUUGUGGGAAGGGGAUUGCUGACAUCAGAAAAUGUAGUGGCCUGAGUGUUAACAGCAUUGAAGAGAAAUAAGCUUUCUGUGUUUCUGUGCAUCGAGAAUUAUUUUUAAGGAGAUAAAAAUAUGGGCCAGGUUUGACAUCCUUUUACGAAGUUGCCCUGGAAACUUUGAUGAAGGUUGUUAGAGAAGAAUUCAAUUAAAACCUUCCCCAUUAGGAAGCUAAUUAGUACAUCACUUACUCGUUUUGGUUGUUUUCAAGGGGCAGGAUUCGCAUUGAAUUAAUGGCACUUCUUUCCAUGUGACGGUAAAGUAAGAUAAAAAUCACAGAUGGGGAAAAUUAUUUAGAUAGCCUAUUUUGAAGAAAUCUAAUUUCCACUUUAUUACAUUUAGGUUUUCAGUUCGGAUUUUUGUCUCACUCUGUUUAUAUACAGUGAUCACAUUUUAGUUUAGAAACCAGUUUUACGUUUUGGAUCACGGCCUAUAAACCAAAGCUUAUGAAUCUGAGUUUCCCAUAUGAAUUGGAGAAAUACGGUGAAUGACAAUAAACCAUUUUAUUAAGGUAACAUUUGUGGUUUUUUUCCGCAAUUAGUUUCUCUUUGCUGUGUGUGUGUGUGUGUGUGUGUGUGUGUGUGUGUGUGUGUGUGGAAGGGAGGUAAUUUUUUUUAAUGUAAACAAUUUUUGGAGCUAAGAAAGUUUGGAUGACCCCCCCCUACCCCCGAGAGCAUUCUGUCUGCCUCAGGUUCUCAGGCUUCCUUGAGAGCAAUGCAAUGACUAUUCUGAUCUGGUACUUUUUGUGACUAGGCUAAGUGGUCGUCUCCUGGCAGCCUGAAACAGCGUGGUCACGAUGGGCACUGGAGGGCAGGGUUCCUGUUGUGUCCUUUCUACUGUACUCUGUCUUUUUUAGGGGAAUGAAUACUUGCUUAUGAAGUUUCAGGGCCAUUUGGAGUAGAAUAAGAAUUCUGUAGCUAAAUACGUAACAUGGGUCUGCUGUGGUCCUCCUUUUCUCCAAAACUAGUAGGGGGCAGUCAUUCUGUACGUGUACUCCCUGAUGCUAUGAUGCUGUGCCCGCAGCAUAUGCCUACGCUAGUCUCAGAGAGUGGGACAGUUGGCUGGGUCCUGUGAUUUGCACCUUUAACUGAUUUUACCCUAGGCCUUCCUGGGAAGGCAGAGUCUAGAUUUAGUUUUGCAGUGGCCACUCAGUCAAGACAGCUUCUGGGGGCCUGCAAGUCAGCGUGAGAAGGAGGGGCUGCCUUUGGGGAGUGACUCAGGCCCUUUGGUAUGAAGAUAUGAAACUCUGGCUCCUGUCCAUGCACCUGCUGGAUGCCACACCUGCAGUCAGCACCUGAGCCCCACUCAGACACAAAAACCAGACCGAAGGCAGAUGGGGCUCCCUUCAAAAGUGCUACAGCAGAACAGGGAACCCCUAAUGAUGUUAGGGCAGCACCACUGCAAAUUACAUUUAAACACUCCGGUGUUGAUAUGGGGAAACGUCUUAGGUAUUUUCUUAGAGGUGCAGUGCACUGGCUUGCUCACGAUACUGUUAGAGUCCCGAGAGAAUUUGGCUUUCGUGGCGAAUUUCUCUUGUGAACUGGAGAGUCGGGGCACCUGGGUGGCUCCAUUGGUUGAGCGACCGACUCUUGAUUUCUGCUCAGGUCUUAAUGUCACGGCUUGUGAGUUCAAGCCCUGCCUUGGGCUCUGUGCUGACAGCACAGAGGCUGCUUGGGAUUCUCUCCCUCCCUCUCUCUCUCUCUCUCUCUGUCCCUCCCCCACUCUCUCUCUCUCAUUCUCGCUCUCAAAAUAAAUAAAUAAACAUUAAAAAAAAAAAACCCUGGAGAGUCAGUUCCAUAGAGUUCUGUGUCUAGUAACCCAGCACAGAGCAGGAAAGUCACAAGACCUGGGUGCUGAGCCUGGCUCCACCAGUCAGCCACAGUGAAACCUUGGUCAAAUUGGUUUCAUGAGCUAUCUGUACUGGACUUAAGUUUCUCCAGUUGUAAAAUGGAAUUAAUCACAUCUGCCUUUAUUUCCUCACAGAGCUGCUGAGGAGGACAACUAGCAGAAGGGAAAGAGACUUUGUCUCCU
rnacentral:lncRNA from 1 species